rnacentral:rRNA from 1 species
GACGAACGCUGGCGGCGUGCCUAAUACAUGCAAGUUGAGCGAUGAAGAUUGGUGCUUGCACCAAUUUGAAGAGCAGCGAACGGGUGAGUAACGCGUGGGGAAUCUGCCUUUGAGCGGGGGACAACAUUUGGAAACGAAUGCUAAUACCGCAUAACAACUUUAAACAUAAGUUUUAAGUUUGAAAGAUGCAAUUGCAUCACUCAAAGAUGAUCCCGCGUUGUAUUAGCUAGUUGGUGAGGUAAAGGCUCACCAAGGCGAUGAUACAUAGCCGACCUGAGAGGGUGAUAGGCCACAUUGGGACUGAGACACGGCCCAAACUCCUACGGGAGGCAGCAGUAGGGAAUCUUCGGCAAUGGACGAAAGUCUGACCGAGCAACGCCGCGUGAGUGAAGAAGGUUUUCGGAUCGUAAAAAUCUGUUGGUAGAGAAGAAAGUUGGUGAGAGUGGAAAGCUCAUCAAGUGACGGUAACUACCCAGAAAGGGACGGAUAACUACGUG